CAGCCGCCACGGUAAUACGAAGGGUGCAAGCGUUAAUCGGAAUUACUGGGCGUAAAGCGUGCGUAGGCGGUGAGUUAAGUCUGCUGUGAAAUCCCCGGGCUCAACCUGGGAAUGGCAGUGGAUACUGGCUCGCUAGAGUGUGUCAGAGGAUGGUGGAAUUCCCGGUGUAGCGGUGAAAUGCGUAGAGAUCGGGAGGAACAUCAGUGGCGAAGGCGGCCAUCCGGGACAACACUGACGCUGAGGCACGAAAGCGUGGGGAGCAAACAGGAUUAGAUACCCGCGUAGUCCCUGUCUCUUAUAC
rnacentral:rRNA from 1 species